GGAAUAACGGCUGGAAACGGUCGCUAAUACCGCAUAACAUACUGGAGGGACAUCCUUUGGUAUCAAAGAUUAUAUCGCUCGGAGAUGGGCUCGCGUCCGAUUAGGUAGUUGGUGAGGUAACGGCUCACCAAGCCGACGAUCGGUAGCCGGACUGAGAGGUCGAACGGCCACAUUGGGACUGAGACACGGCCCAGACUCCUACGGGAGGCAGCAGUGGGGGGUAUUGCACAAUGGGGGAAACCCUGAUGCAGCGACGCCGCGUGUGGGAAGACGGUCCUCUGGAUUGUAAACCACUGUCCCCAGGGACGAAGAUGACGGUACCUGGGGAGGAAGCUCCGGCUAACUACGUGCCAGCAGCCGCGGUAAUACGUAGGGAGCGAGCGUUGACCGGAAUUACUGGGUGUAAAGGGAGCGUAGGCGGGACUGCAAGUUGGGUGUCAAAUCUACCGGCUCAACCGGUAGCCGCACUCAAAACUGCAGUUCUUGAGUGAAGUAGAGGCAGGCGGAAUUCCUAGUGUAGCGGUGAAAUGCGUAGAUAUUAGGAGGAACACCAGUGGCGAAGGCGGCCUGCUGGGCUUUUACUGACGCUGAGGCUCGAAAGUGUGGGGAGCAAACAGGAUUAGAUACCCUGGUAGUCCACACCGUAAAC
rnacentral:rRNA from 1 species